GCCCUUGAUGGCUCAGACGGUAGAGCAUGAGACUCAAUCUCAGGGCUGUGCGUUCGAGCCCCACACUGGGCA